GGGCUAAUGACGGUACCUGAAGAAUAAGCACCGGCUAACUACGUGCCAGCAGCCGCGGUAAUACGUAGGGUGCAAGCGUUAAUCGGAAUUACUGGGCGUAAAGCGUGCGCAGGCGGUUUUGUAAGUCUGUCGUGAAAGCCCCGGGCUUAACCUGGGAAUUGCGAUGGAGACUGCAAGGCUUGAAUCUGGCAGAGGGGGGUAGAAUUCCACGUGUAGCAGUGAAAUGCGUAGAGAUGUGGAGGAACACCGAUGGCGAAGGCAGCCCCCUGGGUCAAGAUUGACGCUCAUGCACGAAAGCGUGGGGAGCAAACAGGAUUAGAUACCCUGGUAGUCCACGCCCUAAACGAUGUCUACUAGUUGUCGGGUCUUAAUUGACUUGGUAACGCAGCUAACGCGUGAAGUAGACCGCCUGGGGAGUACGGUCGCAAGAUUAAAACUCAAAGGAAUUGACGGGGACCCGCACAAGCGGUGGAUGAUGUGGAUUAAUUC
rnacentral:rRNA from 1 species